GGGGAUAUUGCGCAAUGGGGGAAACCCUGACGCAGCAACGCCGCGUGAAGGAAGACGGUUUUCGGAUUGUAAACUUCUUUGACGAGGGACGAUAAUGACGGUACCUCGAAAACAAGCCACGGCUAACUACGUGCCAGCAGCCGCGGUAAUACGUAGGUGGCGAGCGUUGUCCGGAAUUACUGGGUGUAAAGGGCGAGUAGGCGGACAUACAAGUCAGAAGUGAAAUCUAGGGGCUCAACCCCUAAACUGCUUUUGAAACUGUAUGCCUUGAGUGCCGGAGAGGAAAGCGGAAUUCCUAGUGUAGCGGUGAAAUGCGUAGAUAUUAGGAGGAACACCAGUGGCGAAGGCGGCUUUCUGGACGGUAACUGACGCUGAGGCGCGAAAGCGUGGGGAGCAAACAGG
rnacentral:rRNA from 1 species